GAUGAACGCUGGCGGCGUGCCUAACACAUGCAAGUCGAGCGAGACCUUCGGGUCUAGCGGCGGACGGGUUAGUAACGCGUGGGAACGUGCCCUUCUCUGCGGAAUAGCCACUGGAAACGGUGAGUAAUACCGCAUACGCCCUUCGGGGGAAAGAUUUAUCGGAGAAGGAUCGGCCCGCGUUAGAUUAGAUAGUUGGUGGGUAACGGCCUACCAAGUCUACGAUCUAUAGCUGGUUUUAGAGGAUGAUCAGCAACACUGGGACUGAGACACGGCCCAGACUCCUACGGGAGGCAGCAGUGGGGAAUCUUAGACAAUGGGCGCAAGCCUGAUCUAGCCAUGCCGCGUGUGUGAUGAAGGUCUUAGGAUCGUAAAGCACUUUCGCCAGGGAUGAUAAUGACAGUACCUGGUAAAGAAACCCCGGCUAACUCCGUG
rnacentral:rRNA from 1 species